UCGUUGGAGGUUUUCCGGGGACCCUUUCCAACCUGGCUGUCUCAAAGGGAACCAGAUUAUGCAAGGCUUUGUGUUCCAGCUUAGGCUAAACCAAGAACAACUUUAUCCUAAGGUCAAGAGGAAAUAUUUGAUAGGUUCUAAAGAAGGGAGGUUUUCUACCAGGUGAACUACGUGGUCAUGGAAGCACUGUUGAUGGUGUGGCACUACUGCCUGUUCUUCAAAGAAAAAUUCAAACCCCUAUUGCCGGCUUUGAAAAUGGAAGAAGAAUGCCCUGAUUCAAGGAAUGUAGUGGCCUCUAGCAUUUGGCAAGCCUCUUUAUGGACCCAGAAACUUCAGGUGUGGACACUGAGCAGGCUGCCUAGGCUGCCCCUCUGCUCUCUGGACAGCUUGUUGGCAGACGGAGGAGUUGC
rnacentral:lncRNA from 10 species